rnacentral:rRNA from 1 species
GACGAACGCUGGCGGCGUGCCUAAUACAUGCAAGUAGGACGCAGUUGCGAACGGGUGAGUAACGCGUAGGUAACUGCCUAUUAGAGGGGGAUAACUAUUGGAAACGAUAGCUAAUACCGCAUACUAGUAGAUGGACCUGCGUUGUAUUAGCUAGUAGGUCGGGUAAUGGCAUACGUAGGCGACGAUACAUAGCCGACUUGAGAGGGUGAUCGUCCACGCUGGGACUGAGACUCGCCCCAGACUCCUACGGGAGGCAGCAGUAGGGAAUCUUCGGCAAUGGGGGGAACCCUGACCAAGCAACGCCGCGUGAGUUAAGAAGGUUUUCGGAUCGUAAAGCUCUGUUGUUAAGGAAGCGGUACUUAACCAGAAAGGGACGGCUAACUACGUGCCAGCAGCCGCGGUAAUAC